GAUGAACGCUGGCGGCGUGCUUAACACAUGCAAGUCGAACGGAAAGGCUCCUGCUUGCAGGGGUACUCGAGUGGCGAACGGGUGAGUAACACGUGGGUGAUCUGCCCUGCACUUCGGGAUAAGCCUGGGAAACUGGGUCUAAUACCGGAUAGGACGAUGGUUUGGAUGCCAUUGUGGAAAGUUUUUCGGUGUGGGAUGAGCUCGCGGCCUAUCAGCUUGUUGGUGGGGUAAUGGCCUACCAAGGCGUCGACGGGUAGCCGGCCUGAGAGGGUGUACGGCCACAUUGGGACUGAGAUACGGCCCAGACUCCUACGGGAGGCAGCAGUGGGGAAUAUUGCACAAUGGGCGCAAGCCUGAUGCAGCGACGCCGCGUGGGGGAUGACGGCCGUCGGGUUGUAAACUCCUUUCGCUAGGGACGAAGCGCAAGUGACGGUACCUGGAGAAGAAGCACCGGCUAACUACGUG
rnacentral:rRNA from 1 species